AAUAAACGCUGGCGGCGUGCGUAACACAUGCAAGUCGAACGAGAAAGCGGGGGCAACUCCGCAAGUAAAGUGGCAGACGGGUGAGUAACACGUGAAUAACCCACACCCCUGUGGGGAAUAACCCCGCGAAAGCGGGGCUAAUACCGCAUAACAUUGUGGGAUCGCAUGAUCUCAUAAUCAAAGGCUUCGGUCGCUGGGGAAGGGGUUCACGCCUGAUUAGCUAGUUGGUGAGGUAACGGCCCACCAAGGCAACGAUCAGUAGCCGGCCUGAGAGGGCGUACGGCCACACUGGAACUGAGACACGGUCCAGACUCCUACGGGAGGCAG
rnacentral:rRNA from 1 species